UGGGGAAUAUUGGACAAUGGGCGCAAGCCUGAUCCAGCAAUGCCGCGUGUGUGAAGAAGGCCUUCGGGUUGUAAAGCACUUUUAUCAGGAGCGAAAUACCACGGGUUAAUACCCUAUGGGGCUGACGGUACCUGAGGAAUAAGCACCGGCUAACUUCGUGCCAGCAGCCGCGGUAAUACGAAGGGUGCAAGCGUUAAUCGGAAUUACUGGGCGUAAAGCGUGCGUAGGUGGUGAUUUAAGUCUGCUGUGAAAUCCCCGGGCUCAACCUGGGAAUGGCAGUGGAUACUGGAUCGCUAGAGUGUGAUAGAGGAUGGUGGAAUCCCCGGUGUAGCGGUGAAAUGCGUAGAGAUCGGGAGGAACAUCAGUGGCGAAGGCGGCCAUCUGGAUCAACACUGACACUGAGGCACGAAAGCGUGGGGAGCAAACAGG
rnacentral:rRNA from 1 species